ACGACACAUGACGCCCGGGAGGGAAAAGAAACGCGCGCAGAGACUUGCUCCGCUGGUAAAUUGCAAAGACAACGCGGCUCUUCGUUCAAUCCAGGCUAUCUUCGACUUGUAAAAGCUCAGGAUGCUGACGAGAGAAGAGGCUCCGCCGGACAGUUGCGUGUCUCCUGCUCAACAUUGGGGCCAUCUGUCUGCCACUCAGCAGCCUAAUGUGCCUUGUCGACAACGCAGCGCUUAGCCUGUGGGAAGCCAUGCUCCUCCUCCAGCUGCAGCUCCGCUGUUGGGCAGUAGAGCAACAUCCAUGAUGGGGAAAUCAGUGUGUUCCCUUUGCUGAUGACUGGCUUCAUUUUAUAUGUGUUUAUGUGUGUUUCUACCGAAGUCAAAUUCCUUGUUUGGCACGCUCAAACAUGGCGAAUAAAAAACUCUUGAAUCUCUUGAA